rnacentral:rRNA from 1 species
CAGUCGCCACGGGAAUACAGAGGGUGCGAGCGUUAAUUGGAUUUACUGGGCGUAAAGCGUGCGUAGGCGGCUUUUUAAGUCUGUUGUGAAAUCCCCGGGCUCAACCUGGGAAUGGCAUUGGAAACUGGACGGCUAGAGUGUGUCAGAGGAUGGUGGAAUUCCCGGUGUAGCGGUGAAAUGCGUAGAGAUCGGGAGGAACAUCAGUGGCGAAGGCGGCCACCUGGACAAAGACUGACGCUCAGGUGCGAAAGCGUGGGGAGCAAACAGGAUUAGAUACCCCGGUAGUCCCUGUCUCUUAUAA